rnacentral:lncRNA from 1 species
AGGAAUUGAAAAUCACCAACCUACAAGGUCGAGGUUCACCCUGGUGAUUGCUGAAGGUUGAAGAAGAUGCUUACAAAGAGAAAACUAGAGGUAUUAACAGGUAUGUGCUUCAAACUCUCCAACUAUUUAUGUUGCAGAAAUUUCUUCUCUUCUUCUUCUUCUGAGAUCUUUAGUCUGUAGGAUUAAAUUGGUGUUGCUAUGUGUUAUUAUGGUAGUGUGUAGGAUUGAAGAGUGGUUGAGAGUGAUGAGAUUGAUUGAGAAUUUCCAGAUGGAGAAUUCAGAGAGAGUGAUUGACUGAGAAGUUGUAGAAUGAAUUUUUGUUGAUGAUUGAGAGUGGAGUAAAGAUUAUAUAGAGUGCGAUCAUAACAAAAUUGGGUAGUGGAAUUAGGGCAGGUAGUUAAGAGUUUGGGCACGGUUACUGUUAAUUAAUCUCAUGAGGAAAUUAGAUGGAUCAGUUAACUCUGUUAACUUGCUAUUAGAGUGAACUCGCAGUUACUGAACGAAGAUGUUAGAAUGAGUUAGUUUAUUUGACAGUUAGGUUAGUUAGAAUCUGAAUUGAAAAUGAAAACAGUUAGUGAAUUAGUUGAUUGGUUAAUUGGAAUUGAACUUAACGUUAGAAUGAUUUAGGAUGAUUAAGUGUUAGUGAAAUGAAAAGAGGUUGAACUGUUAGUGUUGAGUUUGGAUUUGAAUUUUAGUUAGUAAAAUGGAAUGUUAGUGAAUUGAAUUGAAAUUUGGAUUGUUCAAGUGUUAAUGGUGAUGAGGUUAAUUUUUGCUUUAGGCUUAUCCAUAACAUGGCCCUGUUAGUAUUAUUAAACUUUAAAAAACAGUUACAAACUAUAUGCUAAAUUAGCUUGAAUUGAUUGUUAACAUGACUGCUAUUUAUUGAAUUCAAAAACUGGUUAUGAAAUGAGCAUUUAUGGACUAUUAUAGAAUUAGCAUGUUAGGACUAUUAGCUUUUGCUAGCAGACUUGUUAUGGACUCGCUACUAAGUGAAUCUGUAAAUGAAUUGAAGUUAAAAUAAUUGACUGGUAUGACACAUUUAUUGUAUUAAUACUGGUAUGUGUUGAUUGUUGAUCAGAAAUUUGAAAUGUAUUGAAUUAAUCAUGAAACUAAUGAGUUAGUUUAGAGAGGUUGUUAGUUAAUGCUGCUACUGUUAUGAAUGACAAUGUGUGGGUGACACUUUAUGUUUGAAGAUUGUUAGAUGGUUAUAGAAUUAGUUCAUGAGUACUAUCUGUUUUGGAACCUAAUGCAAAUUGGCUAGGUGGCUUGAGGUUUAGAAGAACUGGUUAUAAUUUCCAUGCAUGAACUAGCUAAGUUGUAUUGAUGUUUGAACUGGUAUGGACCAUCAAUAGAUCAUUGAGUUAACUGCUAUGUAGUUUUGUAUUGAAGUGUACAUGGUAUGUUAUAUUGAUGCCCAUGUGUGUUUUUCGAUUGACAUGUUCAUAUGUGUGUAGGUGUUUGUGUAUGCAAAUUAUUCAUGGACAUUGGUUUAUUAUAUGUGUGAAUGUAACAUGUUGUAUAAAUGCAGGACUAAUGGAUAUGUGAGGUGGUUUGGCAUGGAAUGAAAUAUCACCAUAAUUCAUAAAGACUUGAUCAAAGCAUGUAGGAUAUUAAUAUGAUCAUGGCACAUGAAGGCAACAUCAUGGGGGCUCUUUACAAAAAAGAUGGCUUAUGAAUGAAGAAAAGUGGGGACUAAGUCCUAGGGUUAGAUAGUUGACUUCAGUCAACUUGUUUGACUAAAAAGCCAACAGUUGACCAAAGAUCAACCCUAGGUCAAAAACAUGUAAAAGAAUGUGUAGUUGUAAUUUUGGAUUUUUGUAAUAUGGAUUGGAUGCUUUGUAAUGAAAUUGGCCUUUGAAAUGAAUGAUGUCUUGUGCUUCAAAAACUAAUCUCCCUCCAAAAGUUGAAUUUGAAAAAUUGAAUUUGAAUUGCACUUGAAAACUUGACUAUGAA